GUCUUCAAUAGUAUAGCUCAGUCGGUAGAGCGUGAGACUCUCUAACCUCAGGAUUGUGGGUUCAAGCCCCACAUUGGGCA